UAUAUUUGGUUCUAAUCAGUUGUUUGGUAUUUUUUUGUGCAGCUCCUUUGAAUCUAAUUCCAGUCACUGAUUUUGACAAAAUUGUGAAUGAAUUACGACUUCAAUACAAAAGGAUUUGCAUUGAGUUUCAUGUUAGGGAUGGCGCUAGAAGGCCUACUCAAGGAGCAGCAAGGAUGAUCUUUAAUUUCCUGUUUUCUGUAUCACUCAGUUUCUUAAGGUUGUACCAGCUACGCUCCUCCUGUUUACCUCGCCAUCGUCUUGAAUAUUUUGUGGUUGAGAUUCAUAUUGUAGCAUUUCAUAAAGAGAAGAAAUAGGAUACUCAUAGCAUGAUUCUCAAUGGAAGAAAGAUAGUAGUAGCAAUGACCAAAAAAUAGAAAGUUUAAGCCACUCCACAUUAUUAUUGUUGAGAUUCUGAAAUGGGAAAUUCUAUUUUUUGAUGCUAAAAAUGGAAAAUUCUUUGUAUAUAUCUCUAAACUUACAUAUAAAUAAUUAUUCUUCUGGAUUAUAUAAUCCUCCAGCAUGCAUAGUACUUCCCUUAAGUUCGUGAACAAAUCGCAUAGCAGGAUAUA